UACGGAGGGUGCGAGCGUUGUUCGGAAUCACUGGGCGUAAAGGGCGCGUAGGCGGCCUGAUAAGUCGGGGGUGAAAUCCUGUGGCUUAACCGCAGGGCUGCCUUCUAAACUGUCGGGCUAGAGCACAGUAGAGGCAGGUGGAAUUCCCGGUGUAGCGGUGGAAUGCGUAGAGAUCGGGAAGAACAUCAGUGGCGAAGGCGGCCUGCUGGGCUGUUGCUGACGCUGAGGCGCGACAGCGUGGGGAGCAAACGGG
rnacentral:rRNA from 1 species